rnacentral:rRNA from 1 species
CCUUCGCGGGAUAGCCUUUCGAAAGAAAGAUUAAUACCCGAUAGCAUAAUGAUUCCGCAUGGUUUCAUUAUUAAAGGAUUCCGGUAAAGGAUGGGGAUGCGUUCCAUUAGGUUGUUGGUGAGGUAACGGCCCACCAAGCCUUCGAUGGAUAGGGGUUCUGAGAGGAAGGUCCCCCACAUUGGAACUGAGACACGGUCCAA